AUACUUACCUGGACGGGGUCAAUGGGCGAUCAAGAAGGCUCAUGGCCUAGAUCAAUGCCUCACAUUGCACUUUGUGGGUGGGUUGGUUUACCAUCUCCCCAAGCGGGAGAGUGGACGUCAUAAUUUGUUGCAGAGGGGGUACGCGUCCGCGCGGCCCCUA
rnacentral:snRNA from 1 species